UUUAUCUCAAUUUCUUCCGGUUCUCUUCAAAUUUACCAAUUUUAUGACUAAAAUUCAUUGUUGUUGUCAAUAUUUUUCUGCUUAUCAAAAUUUUUCUUUUUAUUUCUCUUUUUCGUCCUUAAUCAGUCUCUUUUGCAUGAUUAUUAUUUUUCUUCAAACUACUAUUUCAAUUCUCUUCAUCUUCUCAGCUAGAUAUCACUGAUCUCUAUUUUGAUUUUAACUAUUUAAUGCUAAUUAUGUUAAUCACAUAUCAUUAUAACUAGUACUAUAAUCGAUAAAACUUUUUAUUUAGACCAAACAAAAAGCCGAUAAUAAAUACAAAAAUACACAUAAUAUUACAACAAAACAUCAAAAUCUCAUACAAUAAAUAAAAGUAUUCAUAGUUGAUAUAGCUUAUGCUCAAAAUUUAUUAAUUAAAAUUGUUUUUAUUAGAGAAAAAUAAAAAUUAGUAUCUAUAAAUUGAUUUUUAAUUAUUUAAUGCUAAUUUUGUUAAUCACAUAUGAUUAUACAACUAAUAAUAUAAUCGAUAAAUCUUUUUACUUAGACCAAACAAAACGCUAAUAAAAAUACAUUGAUGUACAUCAUGAAUCAACUUAUUCUUAAUUUUAUGUUUAAAUUAUUUGCAAACCAAACCUAUAAUUACUUCACCAUGAGGAAUUCGUUUAUAGUGUAUGAUUGACUAUAUGUACUUGAAAAUUCAGUUGUACUAAUAGAACAAUAAAAAUAAUAUCGGUCAGAAAUCAUUAUAGAUUCUGGUAGAGUAAUAAGUACCUUUUCAUCUUAAUUACAGAUUUUGAAUUCAAGUCUUAGAUAUAAAAAGACUUUUAGUAGGAUGCGUGUUACUCUAAAAUAAGACGUCGUGGAAUGAGUCUAAAUUAAUCCGGCCUCAGAAUAAAUAUCAAAAGAAAUUAAAAAAAAUAAAUUAUCAAAACCUAAUUAGAACCAUCCGUCUGGGUCUUUAGCAUUCCAACGCAAGAUUUCCUUAUUCCAGUGUUCAUCAAUGAACUCUUUAAUUCUCUUCAUAGUUAUGCUUUUCAACUUUCCAAUUCAUGUCUGGAUGGUAAUGUCGGACUUUUUCAAUUUUAAAUUUUGGAUGAAUUGAUAAUUCCGUCGGCCAAUUGCAGGUCUCUUCACAAUUCUCCAUUGCUAAUCGCUACUCCUUCCCUGUUUUGAAGUUCCAUCUAUCUCUUCAGAUCAAUCCAGGUAGCAGCAAUUUCAGGCGAUGUCGCUCUACACUAUAAUUAUGUCAGAAAGGUGUGAUACUUACAAUAUCAUGCUAAGAAAAUGUUGUUACCUUCCAGUUCUGCUGCAUCAAGUGAAGGAGAACUUUGGGUUAUGCGAGUUUUAAAGAACAUAAUUGAUCCCAUGUCCAAUUGCAGGACGAGGAAUGCAGUACAUUGAUGGCAAUAUCAUGAAAUAGCAUGUG